UGGGGAAUAUUGCACAAUGGGGGGAACCCUGAUGCAGCAACGCCGCGUGAAGGAAGAAGGUUUUCGGAUUGUAAACUUCUAUCGACAGGGACGAAGAAGAUGACGGUACCUGAAUAAGAAGCCCCGGCUAACUACGUGCCAGCAGCCGCGGUAAUACGUAGGGGGCAAGCGUUAUCCGGAAUUACUGGGUGUAAAGGGUGAGUAGGCGGCAUGGUAAGCCAGAUGUGAAAGCCCGCAGCUUAACUGCGGGAUUGCAUUUGGAACUACUAAGCUAGAGUACAGGAGAGGAAAGCGGAAUUCCUAGUGUAGCGGUGAAAUGCGUAGAUAUUAGGAAGAACACCGGUGGCGAAGGCGGCUUUCUGGACUGGAAACUGACGCUGAGGCACGAAAGCGUGGGGAGCGAACAGG
rnacentral:rRNA from 1 species